UUGUUAGAACUCCUGUUUGGUUACUUCAAAACAAGGCAAGAGAGAAGGCUGUUUAUUCUUUAAAGAACAAAAGAGAAAGCACUUCAACAAAAACCAGAAAAAUAAAGAAACAAGACAAGUUAUUAGUACAAUAGCCGGACCUCGUACAGGAAGACACACACACUGGUCUGGUCUGUGGCGUGUUCAGAAGCAAGCGGACAUUUCAGCGGAACACAACUCUUGUCCUGAAGGGUGACAGCCCUGCUGGUUUUAAUAGAUCAGUUAGUAUCACUGACUGACCUAGCUUUCACACCACUGAUUAGCCAGAUAUAACUCUAAAGUCUGGGAUUACCAGAUAAGGAAGAGAACCAGCAGACCCCGUGGCCUUCGAGGACCAGAGUUAUACACAACUGGAUGUUGGUCAUUUCUCAACAGCUGAUCAGUGUUAUGAUGCCACGUAAUGAAAAAUCAAUGCUCGGGUUAUCAUAUGACAUUUCAAUGGAAUACUGUACAUCAGUCAAAUACAUACAUCUGUUCAUUGUGAAAAGUAACCCUAGAGAGAACAAGAUAAUAUUUUCACUGUGCUCCAAUACCUUGAAGACACCAAAUCAAACUGUUGAUAGCAGUUCAAUAAUCUGAACCAAUGUCUUAGUACUGACACUACCCUUGUGAGCCUACAGUAACCCUCCAUUAGCAAGGCCAAUGUGAUGUGUUCUGUGGUAAAAAAAAAUGACAUUGAAAGAAAAAACACUAAGAGAAAAAGAGCAAGCUACAGCGGCUUCAAGUAUUUCACAUCACAUAGAAUACUCUGUAUAAAUUAGUUAACAUAUACUUUUGAAUCCUCCAUACACAGUACAAUACAUGCUUGCUCAUAUCAUUGUUUCCUGUACUCAUUCCUUCUUCCUGUUAGUUUUAGAGAAAUCCCUGAGAACGUCUUUUGACAGUUGCUGAAGGUUAUACACAUAGAAUAGGCCUAUUAAAACUGUAUUAUAAUGGAAUUCUAAUUAUCCUAUGGUUCCACAUGCACAGAAGUAUUGACACUGGCCCAUUCUGGAGCUACACUCACCGAUUCUACCGAUGUGGGAUCCUAAUUUGAGCCUGUUUGCUACAGUAGGAAAAUAAUCCUGCAGCAACAGGAAAUUUGAACUAUGUAUAAAAUAAAUUGACAUUUUUGUAGGAGUUGAUACAUUUUUCGUAAGGGAAAAUCAAGUCAGAAAUUGUGGAAAAGUGGAAAUGAAACCACUUUAAACAUCAAAAUAAAAGUAAAACAUUCUGUAUUGCAGGUGAUCCAAUUAAGAUCCUACAUCUGUACAACUAGAACCCUGGUAACUUUGGCACUGUAAUUAGUUACCCAGCCUGUAUUCUUGUGAACACAGAAACAGCCAGGUCACCAGGUUAGUUUUGUGAAUACAUAAACAGUCAGGUAACCCGGCUAGUCUUGUGAAGGUUAGUCUUGUGAAUACAGAAACAGUCAGGUAACCCGGCUAGUCUUGUGAAGGUUAGUUUUGUGAAUACAGAAACAGUCAGGUAACCCGGUUAGUCUUGUGAAUACAGAAACAGUCAGGUAACCCGGCUAGACUUGUGAAGGUUAGUCUUGUGAAUACAGAAACAGUCAGGUAACCCGGCUAGUCUUGUGAAGGUUAGUUUUGUGAAUACAUAAACAGUCAGGUAACCCGGCUAGUCUUGUGAAGGUUAGUCUUGUGAAUACAGAAACAGUCAGGUAACCAGGCUAGACUUGUGAAGGUUAGUCUUGUGAAUACAGAAACAGUCAGGUAACCCGGCUAGACUUGUGAAGGUUAGUCUUGUGAAUACAGAAACAGUCAGGUAACCCGGCUAGUCUUGUGAAGGUUAGUUUUGUGAAUACAUAAACAGUCAGGUAACCCGGCUAGUCUUGUGAAGGUUAGUCUUGUGAAUACAGAAACAGUCAGGUAACCCGGCUAGUCUUGUGAAGGUUAGUCUUGUGAAUACAGAAACAGUCAGGUAACCCGGCUAGUCUUGUGAAGGUUAGUCUUGUGAAUACAGAAACAGUCAGGUAACCCGGCUAGUCUUCUGAA